CGGAGGGAUCAUUAAAGAGUUCUAUAACUCCCAAACCCAUGUGAACAUACCUAACGUUGCCUCGGCAGGUCGCACCUACCUUGUAGCACCCUACCCUGUAGGGCCUACCCGGGAGGUGCGGGUAAGCCUGCCGGCGGCCCACCAAACUCUGUUUGAUAUUGAAUUCUGAACCUAUAACUAAAUAAGUUAAAACUUUCAACAACGGAUCUCUUGGUUCUGGCAUCGAUGAAGAACGCAGCGAAAUGCGAUAAGUAAUGUGAAUUGCAGAAUUCAGUGAAUCAUCGAAUCUUUGAACGCAUAUUGCGCCCAUUAGUAUUCUAGUGGGCAGGACCGUUCGAGCGUCAUUUCAACCCUUAAGCCUUCGUUGCUUAGUGUUGGGAGCCUACGGCAACGUAGCUCCUCAAAGUUAGUGGCGGAGUUGGUUCACACUCUAGACGUAGUAAUUUUUUAUCUCGCCUAUUAGUUGGACUAAUCCCCUGCCGUAAAACCCCUAAUUUAUCAAGGUUGACCUCGAAUCGGUUCAGACAAACUCGCUAAAUUGAAGCAUCUUAGUCAGCGAAGGAAAAGAAACCAACAGGGAUUGCCCUAGUAACGGCGAGUGAAGCGGCAACAGCUCAAAUUUGAAAUCUGGCCCUCGGGUCCGAGUUGUAAUUUG
rnacentral:rRNA from 1 species